GACAAAAGAAAUAUGAAAAACUUAUGGUCGUCAAGUUGUAGUUACUCUCAUAUGACAGCAGAUGGCAGUGAAAGCCCAAAUUCAUUAGAUUAAAUGUUUGAAAUCAAUUUUUAAACGUCUGUCUACCACUUUUUUGUGAUUAGAAUCAUCAGUGGCCAGUCUAAACAUAUAAAAUUUCCAAGAAUGCAAAGUGAGCAUGAAACCAUACCAUUUUCCACCGAAUAAACAGUAUUAUGUGACGCUAUCCCUGCGUUCAGCAGUUGUUGAGCACUAUGUUUUCCACAGGUAACAACAACUACAAAUGCAAUAAAAAUAUUGAAGGAGAUUUUUGUUUGUUUGGUUGUUAUAAUUAGAAAAUGAAAAGACGAGUGUGUUUUUACACAUUUUUUAACUUACAGAUUGGCCAGCAUGGUGAAACAAUAUAUAAGUGGGUUCAACUCAUGUGGUGGUUUCUGGCAGGUGGUGGAAAGACACUGUAUGCAGUUUCUCCCUGUGUUUACAAACGUAGGUGAGAAACUUGGGAGAAGCUGCAUGCAGUCUCUCUUCACCAUAAAAUGGAGUCCACCUGGAAGCAACCGCAGGGAGGCUGAAGAGCAGACCAUUUUCUGGUGGGAUUGGUGGCUGGUUGCUAUUCAAGAUGGAGAAGUAGACAUCUCCUUUGAGCAAAUACUUGUGUUUGUGUCAGGGGCGGAUACCAUUCCCCCGCUUGGGUUUUCACCAAACCCAUCAGUUGAAUUUUUUGACCAGGAACCAGGAGAGCAACGCCUGCCAUACUCCCCUACCUGCAGCAUCACCCUUUUCCUUCCAAGAGGAGUGGAGUGUGAGAAGCGAUUUAAAGCCAUGAUGGAAAUCAAGGGCUCACAUGGCUUUGGAAAAGUCUGAUAAAAAAACCCUGGUGAUAAUAAAAGUUUCAAAGGUUA